UUUCUUCGAAUGAACAUGUUUCAGAGCAUAUUAGAAAGGUUUAUUCCACUCCCCAAGUUCGGAACUUUUCUGAUGACGGGAAAUGUGGUGAAAGUAAUUGGCG